GCCGAAGUGGCGGAAUGGUAGACGCGAUGGUCUCAAAAACCAUUGUCCUCUGGACGUGUCAGUUCGACUCUGACCUUCGGCACCA
rnacentral:tRNA from 1 species